rfam:Butyricimonas synergistica isolate 43_13 Ley3_66761_scaffold_1449, whole genome shotgun sequence.
GGUACCAUAGCUCAGUUGGUAGAGCAAAGGACUGAAAAUCCUUGUGUCCCCGGUUCGAUUCCAGUUGGCACCA